UACGGAGGGUGCAAGCGUUAAUCGGAAUCACUGGGCGUAAAGCGCAUGUAGGCUGCUCUGUAAGUCAGAGGUGAAAGCCCACGGCUCAACCGUGGAACUGCCUUUGAUACUGUGGGGCUUGAGUCUGUGAGAGGGUAGUGGAAUUCCAGGUGUAGGGGUGAAAUCCGUAGAGAUCUGGAGGAACAUCAGUGGCGAAGGCGACUACCUGGUGCAGUACUGACGCUGAGAUGCGAAAGCGUGGGGAUCAAACAGG
rnacentral:rRNA from 1 species